UCAGUGUGAACAUUGGUAGUGGCGGACGGGUGAGUAACGCGUGGGUCGACCUACCCCAUAAGAGGGGGAUAACAGUUGGAAACGACUAGCUAAUACCGCAUAAGCUGAGCAAUCAGUAAAGGAGGCCUCUGAAAAUGCUUCCGCUUAUGGAUGGGCCCGCGUCUGAUUAGCUGGUUGGUGGGGUAAAGGCCUACCAAGGCGACGAUCAGUAGCCGGCCUGAGAGGGUGAACGGCCACACUGGGACUGAGACACGGCCCAGACUCCUACGGGAGGCAGCAGUGGGGAAUAUUGCGCAAUGGGGGAAACCCUGACGCAGCGACGCCGCGUGAGCGAAGAAGGCCUUAGGGUCGUAAAGCUCUGUUUUAAGGGACGAAUGUCGCGGGUAAUAAUACGAUCUGCGAAUGACGGUACCUUAAGAGGAAGCCCCGGCUAACUACGUGCCAGCCGCCGC
rnacentral:rRNA from 1 species